CGUUACCCACAGAAUAAGCACCGGCAAACUCCGUGCCAGCAGCCGCGGUAAUACGGAGGGUGCGAGCGUUAAUCGGAAUUACUGGGCGUAAAGCGCACGUAGGCGGUUCUGUAAGUGGGAUGUGAAACCCCGGCGUUAACCUGGGACGUUGCAUACCAGACUGCAAAGACUAGAGUAUGAGAGAGGGUGGUGGAAUUUCCGGUGUAGCGGUGAAAUGCGUAGAGAUCGGAAGGAACAUCAGUGGCGAAGGCGGCCACCUGGCUUAAUACUGACGCUGAGGUGCGAAAGCGUGGGGAGUCAAACAGGAUUAGAUACCCUGGUAGUCCACGCCGUAAACGAUGAGAACUAGCCGUUGGAUUCCUUAGAGGAUUUAGUGGCGCAGCUAACGCGAUAAGUUCUCCGCCUGGGGAGUACGGCCGCAAGGUUAAAACUC
rnacentral:rRNA from 1 species